UCAGGAUGAACGCUAGCGGCAGGCUAACACAUGCAAGUCGAGGGGCGAGCGGGAUGUAGCAAUACAUUGCCGGCGACCGGCGGAUGGGUGCGUAACGCGUAUGCAACCUACCUUAUACAGGGGAAUAACCUUUCGAAAGGGAGACUAACACCCCAUGGUAUUGAUUUAAGGCAUCUUAGAUUAAUUAAAUAUUUAUAGGUAUAAGAUGGGCAUGCGUAUGAUUAGCUAGUUGGUAAGGUAACGGCUUACCAAGGCGACGAUCAUUAGGGGUUCUGAGAGGAAGGUCCCCCACACUGGUACUGAGACACGGACCAGACUCCUACGGGAGGCAGCAGUGAGGAAUAUUGGUCAAUGGGCGCAAGCCUGAACCAGCCAUGCCGCGUGCAAGGAAGACGGCCUUAUGGGUUGUAAACUGCUUUUACAUAAGACUAACCGUAUAUUUGCGAAUAUACCUGAAUGUAUUAUGAGAAUAAGGAUCGGCUAACUCCGUGCCAGCCGCCGC
rnacentral:rRNA from 1 species